rnacentral:rRNA from 1 species
CAUGUAGGCGGAAAUUUAAGUCUGUUGUGAAAAUGCGGGGCUCAACCCCGUAUUGCGAUGGAAACUGGGUUUCUUGAGUGCAGGAGAGGAAAGGGGAAUUCCCAGUGUAGCGGUGAAAUGCGUAGAUAUUGGGAGGAACACCAGUGGCGAAGGCGCCUUUCUGGACUGCGUCUGACGCUGAGAUGCGAAAGCUAGGGGAGCGAACG